rnacentral:rRNA from 1 species
UACCAGCACCCCCGAGUGGUCGGGACGUUUAUUGGGCCUAAAGCAUCCGUAGCCGGUUCUACAAGUCUUCCGUUAAAUCCACCUGCUUAACAGAUGGGCUGCGGGAAGAUACUAUAGAGCUAGGAGGCGGGAGAGGCAAGCGGUACUCGAUGGGUAGGGGGUAAAAAUCCGUUGAUCCAUUGAAGACCACCAGUGGCGAAGGCGGCUUGCCAGAACGCGCUCGACGGUGAGGGAUGAAAGCUGGGGGGAGCAA